GUAUGUGUACGCUUCAGUCCGGUGUUCGGGACGCUCUGCUGAAGCCGUCUACGUCCUGAGGAUUACAAACCUUUCAAGUUUUACUACCACGAUCGUAGCCGUACUGGAACAGUGGAUUAUUUCGUCGUAUGAACACCACGCAAGUUCAAACAUUACAAGUCAGUGAAACAAACAAGUGUUGCGACUGCAGUUUGCCUGGUCUGGGUAGCACCUGGAUUCUUCUCCCACGCGCGUCAGCCGUCUGCAGCCCUGCCUUCGGAUUGGACGAAAGCCCCAGGACCUUGCUGAGCCCCGCUGUCCGAACUUGAGUGCAUACACGGGGGCCUAACCCCCCUUUACACUUAGCACCACCACCCCUCCAAUAACAACUGCAGCUGUAACCAGAGCAACCCGCCUGCUACCACCAUAGCUCCGCCCACACCAACCUCCUCACCCUGUGAGAGCUGAAGGCAACAGUAAUUGGCUGAUUGUACAUCAGUGCUUACCAUCACAACUGGCACAGACUGUACAGUGGCUGUCUGUGAUGAUACCCUG